AUAGCGCCAGGGACAGCAUUUUGGCUAAGAUCAAGUGUAGAAUCUGUUCUUAUCAGUUUUGAUAUGUUCCCUAUAAGGGGAUAACGUAUUAAAGCCAGUCUUAGGAAAUGGAGCUGAAUUGGGAGCUUUCUCCACUCACUAACCCCUAACCCUAACACCACAAACUGAUUAAAUGGCUGACAAGAA